GCGCGUUGGGCCGGGAUGUAGAGCAGCAGUAAAGGAGUGUUAUUUCAGUGCUCGAAGGUGAACGCGUCUUCACGUCUUUGUAAAGCUUUGUAUCCCUGUAAAGCUGCUAAGAAUGGAGAAUGGAUUGUUUACUUGCCGGGAUUAUUACGUGAGGCUCCCACAAAAUUAUCGUUUCGACAAAGGACAAACCUGCUCGUGAGGGAGAGUUUGAGUGCACAACACUGUUUCAUGGAAAUGGUUCAUUAAGGAGAGACAUUAAAGUUUUCACAGAGUGAAUUUGCUGGAGAUAUUUUCAUUUUGCUCAUACAUACGUAGUGAGGGCCCUGCAUGAAUUAAACAAAAAAUGGACCAUCGCUUUUGAGGGAAUCGCACCACUACUGUUGUUUUAAAAUUAUAUUUUUAUAUGACUUUGCUUAUUCACAGAGAUGAAAAAUCUUCAAAAUUGUUUUAUUGCUCCCAGGAUUAAUUUUUCUUGGGAAGGGUUUGGACAUGGAACUGUUUGGUGGCAGAAAGCUCACAGUCCUCUUUAGAUCUUUUGGCAGAAUUUAAGCCACGAUGAUAUCCAACUCUCAAGCAAGUGGUCGUAUGAAAAAGUCAUUCUGUUCCAUUAGAGUGUCUCUUCUGUGGUAUUUCAUGUUUUCUCAGCACAGAUUUUUCCUCGUUUGAGCCUCCCUCUCCUUGCAGAUGUGUGGAAUCUAAGCAACUUUGUCUUUUGUCUAAUACAGGAAAAGCCUGCUAUUCAUGGUGUGUAGCUGAAGGGUGGAUUGGAUAGUGUCAUGGCAGCACAGCAGUUCGUACUGUUGUAUUUAGUGACAGGGGGAAUAUCUGUAGAGACUUAAAAAAAAUAAAAUAAAAUGGAGAAAUACAACUUAAAUGUGUACAGGCGGCAUAAAUGUAGUGGAGGAUGGACAAGCAGGAGCUGGAUCACCCUUUUAGGAGACACUGGCUAUUCAGAACAGAUCAUCAUCCUAGGAGAUCUCAGUCACUUCAUCCGUGAGACCAAGCACCAGAUGUAAGAUUUACAGUUGCUGUGAAAUCACCUCUGCUUGAAAAACUCUUGCAAGUUACCUCUCUGGGAAUCAUCAAACUUGCCAUUUUGGAGAAUACAGAUCACUGUCAGCCAUAGAUACGGCCUCAUGGAAAAUGAGAGACACUGCAGUGAAUCAGCCCCCAGACAUCACAGGAGAGGCUUCUGAAGAGACCUUCAGCACAGCUCUGUGGAGACACCGCCUGUGCUGGGGUGAGGAACCCCCCUGGCAGAAGUGAGUGAGUGCAUGAACGAGGGGAGGAGUACGACUGCCUGUCAGAUUCACGAGGCAUGGAAGAGGGCCACCAGCAGUGAAUGGCUUCAGCAAAGUCAAGCCACUUCUUUCCAAGGCCUCAGACAUUAGUCCACGCCGAGUCUGACCAUCUGAGUUCCUUGGAAGUGAAUGUAAAUGCCUACAUGAAGACCAAGAAAGCUGGACUUUUUGUGAAACAUUAAUAAUUAUAUGGUGGUAGCACUCAGGAACUGCUGACCAUGGAGUAAACACAGUUUCUGCCUGAAGGCUGAAAGGUACAGUUCUGUACAAAAAAUACUUCAUAGAAGUUGUGUUACCAUCAGUGUGGUCUUGCUCUGCAAAUCUACUUAAUCUAUGUAUUUAGAGUCAUGUGCGCUUUAGUGACGUAAUAAAGGUCAG